rnacentral:lncRNA from 1 species
GACGAUCGACGAUAAAUAGCUUUGCACGAAAUGAAGAGGAGCAAAGCGUUUAAUAUCGGUAUUUGCCGAGCUGUGAGAACAUCUAAAUUUUUGAAUGGAUGAAAACAUCUUACAACAUGCACAGACUGUCCUGAGAGACUAUUAAAUGAGGAUUGUUAGAGAGGAAUAUGCCAACAAGAACUGCAAUUAGGAGUCGUUGACAGGAAACUUUUUAAAAGAGACCACACACUACCUCAUCAACAUGCUUGAAGAUGAUCUGAGCCUGAAGAGGGACAAAGGGCCUAGUGAUAGACUACCUUUCUCUCUGCAAGUAUCAACAAUUCUGCUUUUGUAUGCUGAUAAUUUCAGGGAAUACAUGGUGAUGAGGCAUCAAUGUUGCAAUCAUCUGUUUGUGAGUGAUCAAAGAUGUUUCACAAGCCAUAGCAAAAAGAAAGAGGUUUUGUGAGAACUUCAACAACAAGAGAUGAGAUUGAGGCUACCCAACAACAACUGUAUGAGUGAUUGAUGGGACCCAUGUCUAUACAAGAAUUCCUGGAGGGAAACAAGCCUUGUACUUUCCUGAAGGGCAAGUCCACCCCAACAAAAAGUUUCUUUGAUAUAAUACAGAAAAGUCCAAUGAGCAUAACACUAAACAUUUCAUCAAAAUUUGAUGUAAAAUGAGAAAGUGUUGACAUUUUGAAGUUUCGCUUUUUUUCACAAAACAGACAUCCUGGUCAGUAUGCAAAUGAGUGACAAAGUGACGUUCUCCACUCAGUGUUUCUUUUGUAAUAUACUAGUAUCAUGAUUUAUUUCCCCUCAUAAUGUGUAUAAAGUACAGCUGAGAUAUGGUUUGAUUUCUCCCUGAAACUUUUGUAAAAAGCCAUUGUGGCAACCUAUACUCGAUUCGAUGAAGUUUUCUCAUAAUUCUGUAAAAAAUCAAGCAUUAUAAUAUAUAUUUCUACAGAAGAAAGAGUGAGUGUGUGACAUAGACUUGUUUGCAUAUCACCUGUUUUAUCACUUGAGUAAUUAAUUUCUUAUUUUACAUCGUAUUUUGACGUUUUCCGUGUCAUCUGUCAUGCAUGUUUUACUUAUCUCUAUUCCAUUCACAUUAACUUUUUUUUGUACAGUGGACUUGCUCUAGAACAGGUAUUUUUGUAAUGUACAAGUAAGAAUUUCAUUAUUUACUUGUGUCUUCUUUUUUAACACUUCUUUUUACAGGGGUGGGGGGGGGGUUGAAUCAACCUCCCUUGAGAUCUCUGCCAAUGAUCACAUUAACGCCUUGAAAAUUGGUAUGAUAAUAGUGGGGGAUGUCUUGUGCAAUGCUGUUUGGUUAAUUUUUCCGAAAUCGUCAGAUCUUUAACAUUAAUUAAUUAUGCUAAUUUCUGCAUAAAUCAUACUUUUAUACCAUU